rnacentral:rRNA from 1 species
CCGGUYUAAACUCAGAUCAKGUAAAAUUUUAAAGGUCGAACAGACCUAAUAUUUUAGCUUCUACACCAAAACUAAAUUUUAAUCCAACAUCGAGGUCGCAAACUUCUUUUUCGAUUUGAACUCUUUAAAGAAAUUACGCUGUUAUCCCUAAGGUAAUUUAAUCUUCUAAUCAUUAUAAUGGAUCAAAAAUUCAUUUAUAAAUGUUAUAAUUAAAAAAAAGUUUAUUAAAUUUUUCUAUCACCCCAAUAAAAUAGAUUAAUAUAUUAAAAUAUAUAAUUCAAAUAAUUAUAAUAAAUUUUAUCUAUAAAACUCUAUAGGGUCUUCUCGUCUUUUAAAUAAAUUUAAGCUUUUUAACUUAAAGAUAAAGUUAUAAUUUAAUAAAUUASAGACAGUUAUUUGUUCGUUCAACCAUUCAUUCUAGCUUUCAAUUAAAAAACUAAUUAUUAUGCUACCUUCGCACGGUCAAAAUACCGCGGCCUUUUAAAAUUCAAUGGGCAGGUUAGACUUGAAAUUAUAUUCAAAAAGACAUGUUUUUAAUAA